AACGAACGCUGGCGGCGUGCCUAACACAUGCAAGUCGAACGAGAAAGCCCGCAAGGGUGAGUAGAGUGGCGCACGGGUGAGUAAUAAAUAGGAAUGUACCUAUGGGUGGGGGAUAACCAAGGGAAACUUUGGCUAAUACCGCAUGUUAUCGAGAGAUAAAAGGUGGCGUCGGGCAACCGAGCUUUCGCCGAUAGAGCAGCCUAUUUCCCAUUAGCUAGUUGGUGGGGUAAAGGCCUACCAAGCCGACGAUCUGUAGCUGGUCUGAGAGGACGACCAGCCACACUGGGACUGAGACACGGCCCAGACUCCGACGGGAGGCAGCAGUGGGGAAUUUUGGACAAUGGGCGCAAGCCUGAUCCAGCCAUUCCGCGUGCAGGAUGAAGGCCCUCGGGUUGUAAACUGCUUUUGUACGGAACGAAACGGUGCUGGUUAAUACCCGGCGCUAAUGACGGUACUCGCAGAAUAAGCACCGGCUAACUACGUGCCAGCCGCCGCCGUAA
rnacentral:rRNA from 1 species